GACAGAGGUGCCGAGCGUUAGGCGGAAUCACUGGGCUUAAAGCGUGUGUAGGCGGAUGGGUAAGUACCUUGUGAAAUCCCACGGCUCAACCGUGGAACUGCUCGGUAUACUGCUCGUCUUGAGCCAACUAGGGGCGACCGGAACAAACGGUGGAGCGGUGAAGUGCGUAGAUAUCGUUUGGAACGCCGAUGGUGAUAACAGGUCGCUGGGGUUGUGCUGACGCUGAGACACGAAAGCCAGGGGAGCGAACGGG
rnacentral:rRNA from 1 species